CAGUCGCCGCGGGAAUACAGAGGGUGCAAGCGUUAAUCGGAAUUACUGGGCGUAAAGCGCGCGUAGGUGGUUCGCCAAGUUGGAUGUGAAAUCCCCGGGCUCAACCUGGGAACUGCAUCCAAAACUGGCGAGCUAGAGUAUGGUAGAGGGUGGUGGAAUUUCCUGUGUAGCGGUGAAAUGCGUAGAUAUAGGAAGGAACAUCAGUGGCGAAGGCGACCACCUGGACUGAUACUGACACUGAGGUGCGAAAGCGUGGGGAGCAAACAGGAUUAGAUACCCGCGUAGUCCCUGUCUCUUAUAA
rnacentral:rRNA from 1 species